rnacentral:rRNA from 1 species
GACGAACGCUGGCGGCGUGCUUAACACAUGCAAGUCGAACGGUAAGGCCCUUCGGGGUACACGAGUGGCGAACGGGUGAGUAACACGUGGGUGAUCUGCCCUGCACUUCGGGAUAAGCCUGGGAAACUGGGUCUAAUACCGGAUAGGACCACUGCCUGCAUGGGUGGUGGUGGAAAGCUUUUGCGGUGUGGGAUGGGCCCGCGGCCUGUCAGCUUGUUGGUGGGGUGAUGGCCUGCCAAGGCGACGACGGGUAGCCGGCCUGAGGGGGUGACCGGCCACACUGGGACUGAGAUACGGCCCAGACUCCUACGGGAGGCAGCAGUGGGGAAUAUUGCACAAUGGGCGCAAGCCUGAUGCAGCGACGCCGCGUGAGGGAUGACGGCCUUCGGGUUGUAAACCUCUUUCAGCGCCGACGAAGCGCAAGUGACGGUAGGUGCAGAAGAAGGACCGGCCAACUACGUGCCAGCCGCCGCCGUAA